GAGAGGAGAGGAGAGGAGAGGAGAUCUCCCCGUCCCCGAUCCAAUUCCGCAGAGAUGGACUCCUCCUCCCCCUUCUCCCCUGACGACCAGACCGACGCCGACUUCUUCGACAAGCUCGUCGACGACGACGACGACCCCGCCCCGCCGCCCGCCACCGACUUGCCUCGGCCCGUCUCCGCCACCAGCCUCAACGCUGCAGACGACCCACCCGCCCCGGAGCCGCAGCCUCCGGUGCCGGCGCCUCCCGAGGGGUCAGGCAAGGGCGGAGCCGGCGUCCACACCGCGGUCAAGCAGGUGCAGUGGGCCUCCUUCGGAGGUGGCGCGGACGACGGUCCUGAUCCGUUCGCUGAUCUCUCGGGAGGCGCCGGCGACGACGACGGCUUCCUCGGGAGCACGGCCGGGACCCAGACGGCCUCGGGUCAGGACUUCUUCGCUGGGACCAACUCCUCCUCCGAUCAGCAGAAUGUCAAUGGUCAGCACGAUCAGGGAGGUGGCACCAGCACUGCAGUGGACCCAGCAGAUCCCAAGUCUUGGGAGGCCAUGUACCCUGGGUGGAAGUACGACGAGGCAUCGCAGCAGUGGUACCAGCUUGAUGGCAGUGUAAAUUCAACCGGGAAUGCAGCUCAGGUGCUGGAGAAUAGCAAUCAGAAUGCGCAGCAGCAGCUCAACACGUCUUACCUGCACAAUUCGUCGCAUGCGGGGCUCGAGACAAUUGCUGAGGAGGGCACUGCCGCAGCCGGUGCUGUCUCAAGUUGGGGCCAAGGGGCCGCCUCAGAGUACCCACCCAACAUGCUCUUCUACGCAGAAUACCCUGGUUGGUACUUUGACACCAACACUCAGCAGUGGCACUCGCUUGAGUCGUACCAGCAGGCUGCUAUGCAGGCUGGAACAGCUAGCACGGGUCAGACUGUUGUUGCAAACGAUGUUGUUGCUGCGAAUUCCUCCUCGCUGACAGGCUAUAAUGCUGCACAAACUGAGGAUGUUGCUGCCCACAAUCAGGUGACCCAUCACAAUUCAUUCUCAAAUAGUUUCACUCUGCAGAACCAAUGGCAGACUACGGAUGCAUUUGGUAACAAUGUACGAUCUGAAAGUGCUACAGAUAACAGCCUGGCUAGUAGUUUCUAUGGUUUUGAACAAAACAGGAAUGCUGAGACUACCACUUCCUCUACGAGCCAACAGGCUGGUUUUAACACAGUUGAAACUGUUACAGAUCACUAUGGUGCACGCAAGGGCUUUGAAUCAUCAAGUCUUCAGAGUGGUUAUAGCUCAUCUGACAGUCAACAAUCCAGUUACAAGGCAUUCGAACCUUCCACGCGUUAUAAGGCUGGUUACAAAGCGUUUGAACCUGCCAUGGAUAACCAGAGUGGCUACAAGGCAUUCAAACCUUCUACGGGUCACCAUAGUGCUUCCCAGGGAUUCAUGCCCUCCACGGGUCACCGGACUGAUUUCAAGGGUUCCAGAGCUUCCACAGUUCACCAGGCUGGUUACAAAGAGUUUGAAACUUCUACAGGUUACAGUACAAGUUUCAAGGCAUUUGAACCCUCUUCAUCUCAACAUGCUGGUUACAAGGGUUCCCAACCUAACUACACGGGAUUUGACAGUUCUGCAAACCACCAUGGUUAUGGUGAUGCCAAUGGUGUUGUGAGUACUCAAGGCUUUGUCCCAAUGCAAACCACGUACCAAGGCCAGAAACAAGUAAAUGCAACCUCGCAAGGGCACCUGUCAAAUAGUUAUUUUGGUACUGAAAACUCCAUGAACUUUAAUCAGCAACAAUUUCUGGGUGCAAAUGCGUCAAACUUGCAAUUCGAUCACUCCCCACAUGAAGGCAGGUCAUCGGCUGGUCGACCACCGCAUGCCCUUGUUACUUUUGGGUUUGGAGGGAAGCUCAUAGUUUUGAAAGAAACUAGCUCCAUGCCCGCAAGCUUUAACACUGGAAAUCAGGUAUCACAAUAGUUUCCUUUUGUAACGUAUUUUGUAAUGAAGGAACAUAUUUGAGUUGACUAAAUUACUAAAAUAUUUUUUUUCUUUUUCUUCUUGCAGUUCAAGGGUAACUCUAGUAGCACAGUUUCAGUUCUUAAUCUGUCGGAGGUGGUCAUUGAUAGAGUUGAUCCUUCAAGCAUCACUAAUGGUAGUGCACUUAGUUAUUUCCAUGCUCUGUGCCAUCAACCUGUUCCUGGCCCUCUGGUUGGUGGAAGUGCUGCAUCAAAGGAUGUAAAUAAGUGGCUUGAUGAAAUGAUUGCAUGGUACGAGUCUUCCUCUAGUGAAUUCCAGAAAGGUGAUACUCGCAAGUUGCUUAUUUCAUUGUUGAAGAUACUAUCUCAGCACUAUGGAAAACUCCGUUCACCUUUUGCGUCUGACCCAUUGCAAGAGGUACUUCCUCUCAUACUCUAUUCUGUAAUUGAAUGUUCAUUUAUAUAUCUCCUCUGUUUUCUCUGGUCUGCUUUCCUUUUCUAUCCUUAUUUAUUUUUACGACUUGCAUUAGAAAACAUUGUGCCAUGGUGAUUUGUUUCGAGUUGGAUGGUGUAAACCAAAACAUAAGUUGGAUAAGCUACUAAACUUCAGAUUUAUAUAUACUCAUACAACCUAGAAUUUUUUUACGAACAGUGUUUCAACCAUGUAAAGUUAUAAAUACCUGUGAUCAGCAUUGUCACAUGGGAACUUUGCUCGAUUUCAUAUUUUCAUGUUUGAUUAUGAUGGGGGAUUCAACUACUUUCUUAACUCGUAGUUUGUAAACAAUGUCUAAUUUUAUAUUUGUGCAUAAUUGUUACAUGAAUUCUUUAUAAUAGGAGACAAAUGGUCCAGAAAUGGCAGUAACUAAGCUAUUUUCAUCGUGUAAGAGAAGCACUGCUCAUAUGGGAGAUUAUGGAUCCAUUGUUCCGUGCAUGAAAAAUAUUGCUUCAGAAAGUCAGAUGCAGGUAAUUUUUAUUUAUAAUAUUCUGCCCUUUAUUUUUAGCAAAUGUCCCUUAUUGAAACAACUACUAUUCUUUUAGGCUGUUGCACAAGAGGUGCAAAGUCUUCUAGUUUCUGGGAGAAGAAAAGAGGCCCUUCAGUGUGCCCAGAGAGGUCAACUUUGGGGACCUGCAAUCAUACUGGCAUUGCAGCUUGGUGAUCAGGUCUGUUUGACUUUAAACAACCCCCCUUUCGUAACGUAGCAUGUUGCUCGACUUCCUGUAAUCCUGCCUGGUUUUCAUUUCCAUGUUAGAUUCAUUGUUUUUUUCCUGGACUGUUGGUACAGUUUUAUGUGGAUACAGUGAAGAAAAUGGCUCACUUCCAUUUUGUAUCUGGGUCCCCUCUGCGAACGCUAUGCCUUCUCAUUGCUGGACAACCUGCAGAUGUUUUUAAUGUAGAGAACAAUGUCAACAGUGACUAUGGUACAUCCCGUCAACCUAUGGAGGUACUUGCAAAGUUAAUUGGUCUUUUAGUUGUUAAAUGUAUUACUGUUAUGACCGUCAAGUACUGAUUAUAUAAUUCAAAUUCAAAAUUAUAAAAAAAAAAUCUUUACCUUGUUGUCAUUGCUGAUCACCUGUGUGAUUAAUGAUUUCAUAAUGUCUUGUUUACUGCAAUGUCAUGACUUUUGGGUAUCGUUUAUCAAUAUUUUUUCUGGGUUUCUGUUGUACUAUCUAACUUCUUUCACAAUUUGUUCUUUUUCUUUCCUGAGUCAGCCUGGUCCUAAUGGUAUGUUGGAUGAUUGGGAGGAGAAUUUGGCUAUAAUUACUGCAAACAGAACGAAAGGUGACGAUCUAGUAAUCACCCAUCUUGGUGAUUGCCUCUGGAAAGAAAAAUAUGAGGUUUGUAUCAUUAUAUCAUAUUUGUUUUUAGAUUCAGUUUUCCUACUCUUUUGUGUAUAUGCGGUCAAGUACCUUAUGCACAAUGUAUACAGGUUGCAGCUGCCCAUUCAUGCUAUUUAGUUGCUGAACUAAAUAUUGAUUCAUACUCGGAAAGUGCAAGGUUAUGCCUCAUUGGUGCAGACCACUUGAAGUGUCCUCGAACAUUUGCCAGCCCUGAAGCCAUUCAGGUUUGGCACUAUAUGUUUUACCUGCAAAAAAGUUGUGUAUGCUGUAUGGAGUAGACAUUUACUUAAAACAUCUUUUUCGCUCAGUUGCCUAGUUAGACAUUGCCUAGAUGUGGCUAGCUUUAAAAAAUAUAUUAUACGGAUCCAUUGGCAAGAUUAUGCUUAGUUAUUUAUUGGUUUAUUUUUUUUGCUAUUCACUGUCUGGACUAAUAUCUUCAAAAUGCAAACAGAGGACAGAGGUUUAUGAAUACGCGAAGGUGCUUGGUAAUUCUCAGUAUAUUCUACUACCCUUUCAGCCAUAUAAGCUGAUAUAUGCAUACAUGCUUGUGGAUGUGGGGAAGGUUUCUGAUUCUUUGAGGUAUGUUGUUGGCUUGUUCAUAACAAUCAAAUGACACAAUCCUUUCCCUAGCUUGUACUUGUACAUUAUCACGCAGUUGAAUAUUAACUUCUCUAGGUAUUGCCAAGCAUCUAUGAAGGUGCUGAAAGCCUCUGGUGGUGCCCCUGAAUUGGAGGUGUGGAAACAAUUAUUUUCUUCACUGGAGGAGAGGAUACGCACUCACCAGCAGGUAUGACCAUACCAUUUGGUAUAUUGCUUAUUGCAAAUCUUUGCUUGCUUUAUAUCUGGUGUUCUCUUGCUCUUUUCCUUGUUCAUUUACAGAUUGACCAACUCUCUUUGCUUGUUUUUUUUUUCUGUAGGGUGGAUAUGGAACAAAUCUUGCCCCAGCAAAACUAGUUGGGAAGAUUUUUACCUCGCUUGAUAAAUCUAUAUCCCACAUGAUGGGUACACCAUCUGCACCACUUCCACCAUUACCACAUGGAUCUGUUAGUGAUAGAGAGAGCCACUCUAUGCCUGCAGCAGCAAAAUUUGGAAAUAGCCAAUCGGCAAUGGCCAUGUCAUCGUUAAUGGCAUCUGCUUCAAUGCAGUCAAUGACUGAGAUAGCAGAGAAUAGUGGUGGCACUGGCAGGACAAUUGCACAGAACAGAAGUGUUUCUGAGCCGGAGUUCGGUAGAACAUCAAAACAGGUACUUGCAAAGAGAAAUUUUAAGACAUUAAUUUCUGGUUAUGUUGAAUUUGAAAGAUCAUAUGGUAUUUCUCCCCUUGUCUCAUUUGAAAAACCUAACAGGGUGCUGGAUCAGAUGGCACACAGAGUAGUGCAUCAGGAUCUGGUAGUUCUCGAUUUGGUUGGCUAGUGCAGAAGACUAUGGAUUUAGUGUCGAAAUCCCACCGCCAGGUAUUUUUUACUAAGUUAUGAAAUGACUAUUUCCAGUUUUUGCCUCCAUCUUGUCUCUUCUAUAUGCAACACCAACCUUAAGAUCCUAUUUCUGUUAUGAAGGCAAAAUUAGGGGAUCAGAACAAAUUUUACUAUGAUGAAAAGUUGAAGCGGUGGGUGGAAGAAGGUGCUGCUGUUCCUGCCGAGGAGCCUCCUCUUCCUCCACCUCCAACAAAACCAUCUUUCCAGAAUGGUAUGCCAGACCAUAAGUUGAAUGGCCCCGUGAGUGUAAACCAUGCUCCCAAUGGAGUCACAGAAUGGAAAUCCUCAAAUUCUUCGGAUCAAGGAGGUCUGGGUAUGCCUCCAAUUCCACCUAGCCAAAACCAGUUUUCUGCUCGUGGACGGAUGGGUGUCCGGUCCAGGUAAUUCGACAGUGGCAUUGUCAUUUAGUACUCUGAAUUAUUAUUUCUAUAUUGCUAUCUAAGGUAUUAUACAGAAAACUGAUGGCUUUUCUGUUUUCAUUUUAGAUAUGUUGACACAUUCAAUAAAUCGGGUGCGUCUGGAGCAGUGCCAUCAUAUAACAAACCAGCUGCUCCAUCUGUGACACCACCAGCUGGUGCCAAGUUCUUCAUGCCGACUGCAGCACCUGCUGCUGCAGAUCAGAUGGUGCCACACCAAGCGGCAGAGAUACACAGUGAAACCAUCCAUCAGGAUGAGCGGUCAGCCUCACCACCAGCAGAAACAUCAAUUUCUUCAACCCCACCACCCACACAAUUUUCAUCACCCCCACCGCACUUGCAAUUUUCAUCACCAAUGCAAUCAACAAUUCAUCGGCAAUCUAGUAUGGAGAAUAUCUCCACCCCUUACCUGGGUUCUGGGGUAUCAUCAUUAAGCAGCAGCAGCUCAUUCUCAAAAUCACGAGCCGCAUCCUGGAGUGGGACAUACUCUGAGCAGUAUAGUGCUUUUGCGGGCACUCAAUCACCUGACAGACAGACGAUGCCUUCACCACUCAUGCCUGGCAAACCAUCACACAGUCGUUCCAACAGCAACUCAUCACUGCAGCUCAAUGGAUUGGCAGAGGAUCUUCAUGAGGUUGAGCUCUAACUGAUCACUGCUCAGCAUGACCUCAUGUCUUGUAUCCACAAAGACAGCCAUGGCAACCGCUGACGGUUCCAGAAACCCCAAAGCGGGUGUCAGAAAAGAAGCUGCCCUCACAAUGCUGAUCACAGGGAUGACACAGUUGGAAUGGGUUGGUGCCACUUUGCACGGGAUUCUGGGGGCGCGCUCUAAACCACCGAGGUGCGUCAGACCUGUACUAACAGAAAUGCAGGGUUUUUGAACAUUUUGUAGUUAUAUCUCCUAUACAACUAAAAAGAAGAAAAGUAAGAUCACCAAAUGGUGCGAUAAUUUUUUGGGUUGCCCCCACCUCUCCUUGCGAUUCUAAGGUGGAAGGGUGCAAAAACAAAUAAAGAAUAAGAAUGGAUUCCUGAUGUAAAUAUACAAUAGAGAAACAAUAUAUAAAUGUGGAGGUGGAAGGGAAAGGAUUCCUGAUGUAAAAUGGUCUUUUGUGGCCGUGCGAUGUUUGCCAUAGAUGCGAUACAGUCGGUGGUGCGACAAUUUCGGCAACAAAAAUCAACCGCCCAUAAAAUACAAUUUUGGCAACCUGCGAUUACGGCAACAAAAAUCAACCGUGAUUUUUGGCUACGGAAGUUGGAGUGCUUUCUAUAAUUCCAUCCUCGCGAAAUCAAUCAGGGCACGCGCAGGACCUUUUCCAUCGCCGUCCUAUUUAUUCGGUCGAGGAGGAUGCGAGGUGCUGGCGGGUCUCCUCGGUCCCGCGGGCACCAACCAACUGUGAACAAGCUCCGUGGCAAUGCGCCGGCCACGCGGCCGAUAAUAAAGCCAAAUAUUUUACUAUAAACUAAACAAAGUCAUUAGAGAAUCUUCAAGAGCCUUUCUAUAUCUUAUUCUCUAAAUCAUUACUUGGAGAGCCAUUUAUAUAAAAAUCGUUUUCUAUAUUUUUUUUACUUUCGAACAGUUUUGCUAAAUCUCAUACGCAUUCUAUAGAGUCAUUCUCGUCUUCUAUAUUUGGCUAGCGAAAAAUCUGAAAUAGACAUGCGAUGAGUCUGGUCGGAAGAAACCUAUGUGUAGGAGACAUUUUGGACCUUUUUGAGCAAGGUGGCUGUCUGUCCCAUCGCGGCGAUCAGAUGUGCUCGUAUACUGGAUCGGACGCCCUGGCACUCCGGGGUAUCAGAGAGUCGGUCCAGAUUCGCCAUGGCGACAGCCACGUUGGCGCUUGGCGUCUUGUAGACUGGCUGAUCUCCGACCAUGUCAAAAGCAUCACUAAGGUUGUGCGGCGCAAGUUGCCGUUCUUCAUCUGCGCGCCGCCGAGCACGAUCAGCAUUGCGCUGUUCGCGGAGUUGUUUCUGCUCGUCUGUUUCGCCGUCGACAACGGGUUCGUCAUUGCUGACGUUAAAAAUAAGGUCUCCUCGCCGAGGUGGAAAGACCGGGAAACGAGAAAAACCCGGAGGAUAAUGGUGGUAGAUCCAGGUCGUAAUCUUCGUCCUCGGAGUGUAAAACUUUGGUGGGGACGGACCCUGUGCUGGAGUUUGUACUGGUGGCCUUGUCGUCUGGCAGGACUCGGAUGGAUACCAUGUUGACGUAAUGGCGAGCUGUUUGGCUGCUCUGUCCCGGCGAUAAGCCCGCCCUGCUGAAAAGAGAUUGGGUGUGCCGUGAAUAGUGGUCGGCCGAGUUGCUUAGACCGUAAGGGUGGUUCUGGUCUUGAGCUGUCUUGAGCUUGAUGGGCCGUCCCGCGGGGGUCGAUGUUAUUGUUAGGGACGUCUCCAGCUGUUCGUGUGUGAUGACACGAGUUGGCCGGCAGGAGUCGAAAAAGUUUGUUGACGUCGCCUGGUCGGGUUUUCGCGAGAUCGAAUCCAUGAGAUCCGAGGCUUCGAGGAGCCUGAGAUCGGCGCAAUCAAGAGCUCGGAAAAGAUCCGAGUCGUCGACCUUUUUUCCCCUAUAACGAGGGAGCGGAGGUCGGGUGCUCGGAGCCGGCGUGAUCGGAAUCGACGCCCUUGCUGUCUCAGAUCGGAUCUGGGCUCCUUCCGAGGUCGUGGUCGUGAAGCCGCCACCAUGAGUCGUCCACGUGAUCUGGCCGACGGUGAACGUGAGGCCUUCCGCCACGGCCGCGGAAGCUGGAACGAUGACCAUCUUGUUCGUCGAGAGAGCUGUACGCACACCCCCUACCUGGCGCGCCACUGUCGACGAAAGCUAGUCGGCAGUCUACCUUGGGGUAUACCCACGGUAGUAGUUUAUUGGUAGACGGUGCGCAAGCUACGAACUCGAUGGUGACGCAAGACACAGACAAAAUUUUUAUCCAGGUUCGGCCGCCGUGUGGGCGUAACACCUACGUCCUGCGUCGUCUGAUUGUAUUGGAUUGUGUUGAGAUAAUCUGUCCUAAGGGGGGUCCCUUGCCUCUCCUUAUAUAGUCCAGAGGGCAGGGCUACAGAUCUGGAAACUAAUCCUAGUCGGCUACAAUUGCCAUAGAUAGUACGAUAUCUAUUCCUAUUCUAACCGACUAGAUUCCUGCUUGAUCCCCACGUCUUGUUUUCUCGCUUGAAACUCCGAACAGUCGAAUCAAGCCUCGAACUCGUCUCGUAAUGGGCCGAGCCUCCUGGCCCAAGUCUAUCCGUAAGGGUAUAGGGGUUUAUACCCCCACAGCUGGUACAUGCCAAGUGAUGGAGCAAGUGAUGAUCAUGGUGAUGAUGGCGAUGAAAAUGAUCAAGUGUUCAACUUAGAAAAGAAGAAAGAGAAAAACAAAACCCUAUGAAGAUCAAGGCAAAGGUAUUGCUUAGGGUUUUGGUUUUGGUGAUCAAGACACCAUAGAGGGUGUGAUCACAUUUAGGAUAGAUAGCCGUACUAUAAAGAGGGGAAUUCUUUGGCUAAGCGGUUAUCAAGUGCCACUAGGUGUCUUUGUUCAUGUGCAUGCAUUUAGAACCUAGUGAGCUAACUUAACUCAUUCGAAGAAAAUGAUUGUGAAAAUGCUAACACACGUGCACAUGUUGGUUUACACAUUGUGGUGUUGGCACACUUUGAGAAGGAGGUGGAGUUUGAAGGGUAGAGAGAGGAUGGGUUCCUCUCUCCCUCCCGCCGAGCUUGCGAGACGGGAUUCGGCGCUUUUCGAGAAAAUGAAGUGCAUAUCUUCUAUUGCGCCGGUGGGAAAGUUGGACAAGUCGCGGGAGUGUUUCUCGCUGAGGAACACUCACCGGACGCUGGCUUCUGGAGCACCUGACGCUGAGUCUGAGCGUCCGGUGCAGUCAGUGCCUGACUCAGUUAGGGUAAGGCACCGGACGCCAGGCACCGGACGUAGGCUGGAGCGUCCGGUGUUCUGAGUCCGGUGUCUGCGCGUUUUGCAGUGCUCCCUAGGUUUAAGUCCGGUGAGCACCGGACGUAGGCUGGAGCGUCCGGUGACCUUGCGCGUUUGCAGACCUUCCUGAGUUUAGGACCGGUGUGCACGGGACGCGUCCGGCGGCAACUUGCUCAGCGUCCGGUGCUCUGCAGGUUACCGUUAGACUCUGACACGUGGGUGACUUUGGAGCACCGGACGCAGGUGUUGAGCGUCUGAUGCCCCUUUAAGAGCGUCCGGCGACCCCGUGUUUUGUCCAGUGAAAGAGCCAACGGCUCUAUUUGUUUGAGGGGUCUAUAAAUAGUUGUUGGCCGGCUUGGGGCUCACUCUCUUGGCAUUCUAGCAUACUUGACAUCCUUGUGAGCCUAAGCAAACACCUCCCACUCAUCUCCUUCAUAGAUUAAACAUCUUUGUGAGAUUGGGAGUGAUUCCAAGUGCAUUUGCUUGAGUGAUUGCAUCUAGUGGCACUUGUGGAUCGUUCUACCUGCGAUUUUCUUGUUACUCUUGGUGGUUGCCGCCACCUAGACGGCUUGGAGCAGCGGAGGAGGAUUGACACGAGUUGGUGAUUGUUCGUAGCCAUCUUCCGGUGAUUGUGAGGGGUCUUGUACCUUCACCGGUGGAGAGCCGAAAGGUAACUCUAGUGGAUUGCUCGUGUCAUUGAGCUACCUCACUUGUGGGUAGGUUCUUGUGGUGUCCUAGUGAGGACGAGGUUCGUGCUACACCUCUUAGCCACCGAACCACCAAGUGUUGGUCGACACAAUAGGGACGUAGCGUGCCGGCAAGCACGUGAACCUCGGGAGAAAAUCGUGUGUCUCCAUUGUGAUUGUACUUUGGAUUUCUCCCGGUAAUUGGACGUCAUAUUAUUGAUUGGUUCAUCCCCUCUACGCGGCGGUAUAAAGAUCAAACCAUCUCUCUUACUUUCCCGCAAACUAGAGUAGCUUACUUCUUGUAUAGAAACUUUAGAUAGCUCUCUAGUGUAAGUAGUGACGUAGCUCUUGUGUGCCUAGUGAUCAUUUCAACUAGAAUUGUUGGAUAGGUGGCUUGCAAACACCCCAUUAGAGCUAGAGCAAAAAGCUACGCUUUGUUAUUUACUAACCACUUGCUCUAGUGAGUUUUGUAGAUUUUUUAAAUAGGCUAUUCACCUCCCUCUAGCCAUAUUAGGAUCUUUCAAUGGGUCAGCAGGUGUCCCCGAGUUUCUACGAGCACACGAUGAUAUAUGAGCAAGGUGAACCUGUCCUCGCCACGACGGUGGCAAUCGUGGCCAAGUGAAAGGAGAUGUGUACCACUGCCUGCAUCGCCUCGUGGUACAACCAAUAAUCCCAUUUGUAUCUACGCCACAAGCAAGAACUGACCAUAUCGUCGCUCUUGCAUGUGCCACCUCACUACAUUCACGGUGCCCGCUGAAGUAUUGACUAUUGCUAUUUACUAAAAAAUUGGUUCAAUUAGUAUUGGCACUGAAUGUGAACAAUGUCUAGACAAAGCUCUUUGCCUUUUCUAGAAAAGCAAUGAAGAAAAACUGAAAAAUAAUAUCAAUAAGCUCUCUUAGGCAUAUAUAGACAAAUAGCCUUUCGUUUCUUACCUACGUAACCUGGUCCUAGAUAAUUGACAACCAAUGCUAGGGUGAACAAACAACUACCAAUUUGACCUCUGGAUGUGCUUUCUAAUUUGCAUGUUUAGACAAUUCUUACAUCAUUAGAAUCCAUCUAAAUUCACAUCCUAUAGUUAAUAGAGCUUGUUGCCGGGAAACAAUUCAUAGUUCUACACUAAAUCAAAAUUCCUCACUGUAAACUAUGAGAAUUGAGCAAGUAACAAGCACAUACACUACUAUUGUUACUGUGACCAAAUAAAAAAAAUGUAUGAACAGAUCCAUAGUGAUCCAUUCAACCAUCCUACUUUCCUAAAAUAAUAGACGUGUUCACUCAUAUUUAUUGGAACUCCUUACUUCUAGAUUCACACAUUGUAGGUGGGCAGCGAGGGACAUUACACAUUAGACAUGGUGUGGUGCAAACACGUACAUAUCGUUGAGGAGCGAGGUGCGUUCUUAUUUUAUUCCUUGAGCUUGGAGAAGACUGCUAUGUGUAACACGCGGAAAGGUUAUAAUAGAGUUGAUGAGUCUAUGACACCGAUCUCUAUGUGACCUAUUAAUUUUACAAAAUUUAAUUUUUAAAUUAAAUGUCACUUUAAAGGUGAAAUUUAAUUUUAUAGUAUUAUAUUAUCUUAUCAUGUGAUUCGUAUAUUUUUAAUAUAAAAGUUUAGUUAUCCCGUAGUAACACGAGCAUUCUAGAAGCGAUGCCUUUGGUUGGUGGUAGUUGCACAUGAGCAGGACAGCAAAGUGUGGUCGAACCAAACCAACUGAGGUGAGAUGAGAUCCCUGACACGUCACCAGAAAGAAAGAAAAAAACUCAUCAGAUCUUCAUCGGAUUUUGAAGGGGAAAAUGUGGAAAAUGGAAGGAUACAUACAGGAACAAGAGAGAGAGAGAGAGAGAGAGAGAGGCAAGAGCAAGAAGUGCCACGGCCACGGGUGGCGCGAUGCGACGUCGGCUGUCGUGCUCGUGACCGCCCUCCCGCCUCCUCCACCUCCUGCGAUUCCGAUCCGCUGCCCUGUCUGGCCGGCCGGCCGGCCGGCAAGCCCCGCCUCCGCCUCCGCGCCUGCCUCUCCCCUCUCCCAUUUCGUUUCAAUUUAGAGCUGGGAGCAACCAACCAACCAACCAACCCUAGAUCCACCACACGAGAGGAGAGGAGAUCUCCCCGUCCCCGAUCCAAUUCCGCAGAGAUGGACUCCUCCUCCCCCUUCUCCCCUGACGACCAGACCGACGCCGACUUCUUCGACAAGCUCGUCGACGACGACGACAACCCCAUCCCGCCUCCCGCCACCGACUUGCCUCGGUCCGUCUCCGCCACCAGCCUCGACGCCGCAGACGACCACGCCCCACCGCCAGCCACCGACUUGCCUCGGCCCGUCUCCGCCACCAGCCUCGACGCCAC
rnacentral:lncRNA from 1 species